UACAGAGGUCUCAAGCGUUGUUCGGAUUCAUUAGGCGUAAAGGGUGCGUAGGCGGCGCGGUAAGUCGGGUGUGAAAUCUCGGAGCUUAACUUCGAAACUGCAUUCGAUACUGCCGUGCUUGAGGACUGGAGAGGAGACUGGAAUUUACGGUGUAGCGGUGAAAUGCGUAGAUAUCGUAAGGAAGACCAGUGGCGAAGGCGGGUCUCUGGACAGUUCCUGACGCUGAGGCACGAAGGUCAGGGGAGCAAACGGG
rnacentral:rRNA from 1 species